GCACGUGCACAAGCGACUAUGUGCACAUCCACAUAAAUAUUAUGGGAUCAAUACAUUUCACAUCCGCUGCCCACACCUCUUAACUUCUCCCUCCCAUCUCUUGAGCACCUGUGCUACUGUCAUAUUUCACACUGAGAAAUGCUCGCAGCUGAAGCGGGCAUAGAUGAUGCUGUAUUGAACUAAGUCAUUGUUUGGAUUCAGUUGUGGAGUCUUGGUGCCCACUGAAGAAUGGUCCUUGCCCGGAGUAGUUAGUGCCUAAAGAAGCCACUUCUUAAGAUGUGACAGGAACCUCACUCUCUAGAGUCCCCAAGACCUACAAACUGACAGGUGACUUACUUGAAAGCAACCCUUGGAGUCGUUCUAGGCAGAUUUGAAUGCCAUACGUGGCUGUUUGUUCAUUAUUCUAAUUUAAUGAUGCAGUCACACCUAAUUAAUCCAUGUCUGGUUUAUUCAUACACUAUGUCUGAGGAUCCAAAAGAUCUCUCCAGCUAGCCAGUUUCCCUUUACAGGGACAAGCAAGGGGGCAUCCCUGACAAGUGAGGCUGUCUGAGUUCAAACAGGAUGGGAUCACUGUAGACCGAACUGAUAGAGGCACUGACCCUGACACCACCUUCCAUGCAGGUAGGCACGACAGCAGUCACAGAGAUGCACAGCAAUGAGGUCUGUGUGACCAUGCACAAAUACACACGAGCACAAAAAGCAUGCCUUCUACUAUAAACUUACACAAACCCAUUCCCCUCUAAAAGUUAAAGGGCCACAUCUCACCAUGUAAUCAAUCAGGCCUGCUGGCAUGCCAGGCUUUCAUAUGAUUGGAAGUUUUGGUGCAGAAGAUUGAGAGCCUGAGGUCAGUAAACUUCCCCUCUCUGUCUUUAGAAAGUAGAGCUGAAUUAACUGUUGCCACUGUACAGAUAGAGACUGAGGCUGAGAGUAGCGUAUGCCCAAAGUCACGCCUGCAGCAUGGUCUUCAGCGCACCUCCCAGUGGCUGGUUCUGGCCAGACUGCUCCCCGUGAGUGCUGUCUCUUGCCUGGCAGGUAAAUUGAGAGAAUGAGGCAUCAACCUAAUAAUAUCCUUAUAAAGCCAAGCCUCCUUGCGCAAGUCCUCGGAGACAAGAGGCAUCUAAAGAUCAAACGCUACAUCACAGUGUAUUUGUAGGAAUUCUCUGAUUCUGCUACCUCCCUAUAAUGCCGUAAUUGACUAUUUGAUCAGCUCUAAAAGGGACGGUGUUCAAAACAGACUCACACACACACGCGCAUACACACACUCACACACACACUUACAUACACGUGAACACUCUCGCAUACACACACACAUACAUUCACCACACAAGCAUAUGCGCACACAUUCUUUUGCAUACCACAUGCCACAGUACCCACACCAGUUCAUGCAACAAAGGUCAAUUUUCACAGGGGAUGCUUGAAGGUGAGUGAAAAGCAUACACCUAAGAUUGUAUGUGCCCUUCCGGUAAUGGGCUUAUCAAUACCUCUUAAAGCAAUGUGACAGCCAGCCCAGAGUGAUUCAGUUGUGUGGACAAAGGUCAGCAUAUAGAUAUCCAUUAUUAAUAAUAUCAAUAUCUUGAUUGACCAAUAUAACCAGAAACUGUAUCAUGUCGCCAUUGAUGGGUGAGGCUGGGAGGACUCCACAACAAUAGCCGGAAAUUAUGCCCAUGUAAAAUUAAUCAUAUUGACUGGUUCUAAGAAUAUAUAGCGAGGCGAAGAUCUUGGGAGAGGUUGUCAUGGUGGGAGAGGGGGUCCUUGUUCCCAGAGGCUUUAUGGUUUUGAACUCCUGCAAGGAGACCGGGGAAACAGAGGCGUCCCUGAGUGACCGAUGAGAACACUCUCCCUCAUCCGGCCUUUGCUUUUCAACAGAGUGGGGUGGAGGAGAGGUGUACUCUGAACAGGAAAAGAAGGAAAUAGGAUCCCUUAACCAUUAUGCGUCCAGCAUAUCCAUAUCUUUCUGUCAAAUCAAUACUUGGCUUGGCUUGGUCUCACCGGAUGAGGCACGGAAAGCAUACUUGCCCCACUGUGUAAAGAGGUCUCUCUCCAAAGGGGUGGCAUAAGCCUGAAGCCGUGUCCCUUUACCAGGGUGGGAUAUACUGGCUCCAGGAGAUGCCAGUGUGCACUCUGCAGCCUGGGUAUCCCGGGAGGAAAAGAAAGGCCUCCAAUCAGAUCAAUCACUGUGAUUAAAUUCUUGGGAUCAGCAGAGCCAGGGACUCAGGGUGCUGCCCUGUCAGCAUUGCUGGUAGGGUGGGAAUAUCUUGGACUUCAGAAAGUCAUUUCUCACUGAGGCUUACUUUCAGCCCCAGUGAGUGAGAAGGAAAGCCUUUGCGUCCUUCCAAGGGAAGGCUUGAAAUUCUCUUGGGGCAGUCCUGGACCCCUCACUCUCUUGCUUAUAAGAGCCCUGUCUCAGGACGUCCCUGGCCCUUCUUGGCAGCCAUAGAUAACACCUGGAAGGGUGUCCUGGGGAAGAAGUGAAAAGGAGAGAACCCCCAUGUCUGGGCAGUCCUCAGAAUGGAAAGAGGGCAGUCAGGAAGUGUCUCUGGUGACAGCCAAAGGCCCAACAGGCUUUUCGAUCAUUCCGUUUCUCUGUUUUUCAGAGUUGUCAAGGCAACGGAAAGGGAGCCUGCCUUAGAGUCCAGGCCCCAUGGUGGGUGUGAUGAUGAAUAAGAAAGGGGCUGCUAAGAUGGGUGGUGGGGGAUGCCUUUGAUCCUAAAGGAGGGCAAGCAAAUGGGGCCUGUCGCUGGAUGGGAGAUGGGGCUGCUUGAGGUAGGGUGCUCCCCUUCUCAUAAGAAACAGCUCAGGCCCCAGUUGAUCGGCCACAUUCCACCCUCUUUGAUUUGCUCUCCCACUCACCCAGGGUCAUCAAGAGGCAAGAAGGUCCCCUGGCCUCUGUGGAGGCAGGGUCCCACCCAGGUGCUCACACCCAGCCCACGGGACCAAGAGCCCUGCGGGUCACUGCCACUCCCUCCCCAGUACACACAACCCGGCCUUCCUUGCAGAGCCCCAGCCCCCAAGGCUGCCCCAGAGAGUUCCCAGGCCCCCAAACUGGCUCCCAUCCCUGCCCAGGCUGGGCACAGCCUCAGAAGGUAUAUGGGGAGUGUGGGUUCUGGCACCAGCAUUCAGUUCUCCGCCCAAAGUGUCCUCUCCCCUCCUCGGCCACAAAGCCUGGCUCUAGGUAGCUCUAGGGAGAAGAGCAGAGAGCCCAGAAGCUAGACCACCUCUUUACACCUUUUUCAUACCUGGGGAGGAAGCCCCUAAAUUGUGUGUUGGGGAAGGGUUCCUCUUUCCUCCAGCUGUCACCUGCCCUCUGACGGUGAGACGAAGAACUUCUUACACACACGCUGCGGGCCCCAGUCUGAAUUGCCCAGCUCCCGCAGCAGCCCAGGCCCCGCCUCACCCCAGGAGCUCCAACCCAAACCUCUCCCACACCCUACCCCUAACCCCGGCCAGUGUUGGCUGCUCCUUCUACACAGCAGCUCCCUGCACGGGUUGGGGACUCUCCAGGUCAUUUCCCUCACUUGACAAGCCAGACCUGAGCCUGGGACACCAGCAAAACAGGGAACACAAAGCCAGAGAGGAGGAUCAGAAAACCCAAAAAGUAUUGUCAUUUUUGUAUCCAUGUGAGUUUUGUUUCAUUUCAAAAAUUAAUAAUUACAGUAUAUGAUUUAGUAUGAUUUUUAUUCUUAAUUCCAUAUGUUGGGGGCUUGUUAGCAAAGCACCAGAAUCUUUUGCAUACUUGGGGUCUGACAUGGGUCCAACUCCAAACUGCUGUGUCCCUGAACUUCUGCAAAGGAAUCUCCAAAUGCCCUCCACAAGACGCACACAUGUGGCACACUCACAUGCUAGGUGUGAUGAAAUGAAUGAGCCUGGGUGGAGAACCCACAGAUUAGUGAUCAAUUGGUGCACUCACCACCCAGGUCCAGCCGAGGCCUCAGUAGAGCAACUUAAGCCUAGUUUAUCAUCAGAGUGACAAAGACACAGAGUAAAACUGGCUUAUUUUCAGGUUCAUUUUCUUAUCGAAUUAAAAAAAAAAUCUUUUUGUUGAAAAAUAAGACCUUCAUCUGUACUGUCAUCUUGACUAUUUCAAUAAGCAAAUGAUUAGAUUUAUUUUACAGUAAAUUCUGUUGCCAUUCUGUUGGUCAAGUUUGGAAAUCCCCCGGAACGAGGAACAAAUGGCAAAGCCUGGGACGUGGCAGCUGAGUUGGGUCCCCAGGGGAAAGAGAGGAACAGCAAGUUAAAGGGUGAUGUCUCGGUGCAGGAAAAGCACGUUAUUGGGCUGUGGUGAAUGACUACUGGGUAGAUCAGAUCACAACAGCAGCUUAGGCCUUAGAGCAAGAGAUCACACUCCUGAAGGGCUGACCAGCUACACACCAGCUGCAGAGGACACCCUUCCUCCAGGAGACCCCAGUUGAGACAGGUGGGAAGCCAGGCAGGAAGGGCCAUACAUGCAGGCUGAACCACCCAGCUGGAGCCAGCGAAAGCCAGGCUCUUGUACCCUUUGGGUUCAAAUUCAAGACCCCCAUCUGCCCCUUAUGCCAUCACCAGGGCUUUGGUUUGUUUCUCCCUUAGUCUCUCAAGUUUCUCAGCAAAACAUUAACUUGGAAUGUUCUGACCUUGUCUUGGCUGAGCCAGUGAUUAAGAGGGCUAGUCCACAGCAGAGGCCACACAGCCAGGAGGAGAGCAUCCCUGCAGACCAGCCAAGGCUGGAGGAAGGGCCUGCUGGGGUGAGAGUUGGGGACUCACUGAACCAACUGCCAUUGACUUCUGGGAUGCCCCCAUCCCUCUCCACACUCACCCUCAUCAUGCAGAGGCAGGUUUCUGCAGAGCAGGGAGAGGGUAGGAAAUUGUAGGCUGUGGGGGAGACAUACCAUGGCCCUCUGCAGGAACACCCCUGGGUCUGACAGGGGAGACAAAGGCCUCCCUCAUGGAGGUGCAGAUUUAUGUCUAAUUCAGGUGCCCUGAGUGUCAGGCUCUGUUCUGACAAGGUGGGGGACCCGCUUUCACUGUCACAAGAUAACUUGAGAUGUGAUAGAAGACAGCAACCCCACAAACAUAAAACUGUCCCAUGUAAAUGCCCUGUUGGGGGAAUGUGGGAACCCCCGAAAGAUGAGUAAUCAGGUAGGGGCACUGGCUCUGAGCCAGAUUCCCACAUAGAAAAGGACGGCAUAAGCCCAGCCUGGCAGAUGGGAACGGGACAGAGCAGGAGGGCUGGAGAGCUGACAAGUCGGGGAGUUGUGUUUUGUUUCUUUCCAUUGUGUUUUGUUUUUGUCCCUCUGCAAUGAAAUCUCAUUCUCAGAAUGGUGGACAAAGGAAUUUCUCAUUUUGAAUAAAUCUGGACCUGCCGGCAGCCUGGCUGAGGGAGAAUCAGUCAGGGGUGGGUGGGUGUGUUGCUGUUACUCCGAAGAAGUCAGUGACACAUGCCGAACCUGCCAGGGCUGUCCUCACCUGCUUUGGGGCUGCAGUGUCCUUCAGCUGUCCCAAUUGCAGCCCACUUGGGCUGAGAAAUUACUCAUGGAAUAUUUAAACCUGUGGCCAUGUUUGCUGUCACCAAGGCAGGCAUCCAGAUUGUCCCCACAGACUCACUCAGCUGAACGUCCCGAACAAUAAGCUAUAGGGUUCCAGGGGCUGGAAUCUUCCCGCACCCUCGCCCUUCCUCUGCUCCUGCCCCCAGCACAGGAGUGGCUGGAUGGCAGCCAGGCCAUGGGGAUGAAGCUGGGGACAGAGUUUCCUGGGGUGACACUGGUCUUGCAGCUGGAAAAAUAUUGGCAGGUCCCAGGAAGAACUGCCCCCAUUGUGGACAGCACACCAGGGCAACGUCCUGAGCAGACGUUUUUUACUGCAGGAGAACAGUGGAAUGGGCAUAUUUCUCCCAUUUCUGGAAGAGAAACUCAGCCCAGGGGGGCGGUCAUGGAUGAGGUGGCCUUUGGGGCUGGCUCUUUAGGGGAGGGAGAGUCCCCUCUUGUAGACCUUCCACAGACCACAAUCCCUGGCAUCUUCCUGACCCCAGGGAUUUCUCAGGGGAGAACAGAACUGGGCUCACUCAUAGAGCUGGAGUGACUGAAAAAUUCAGUUCCCUGUGGGGAUAUGGAUGUCACUAGUGUUGGUCUUCCAGUACCCUCCCAGUUCCCAGUCAUCCAGUCUCUACACUCCCCACCCCGAGUCCCAAACCCCAACCCCAACCCCCAGGCCACCUAACCAGGACUGAGGACUCUCAAGCAACGGUACCCAACCAAAAGUGACCUCCUUUUCCUAACAUUUCAAUGUCUUACCCCUCGCUGGUCUGACAAAUCAAACUGGGCAGAUGUGUCCCUGGCAGCUAAUGGACAUUAUUAAUGUGUUACCAUCUCUGUUGCCACGUGCCUUUUAACAGGGACCUUUUAGAGCCCAGUCCUUAACCCAAAGAAACAUCUCUAAUCGGGGGGAAUGUUCUGGCACAGGCCAGGCCAGAGAGAGCCAGCGUGAGGCAGGGACGCCUCUGUCUACUGGGAGGCAGCAGAGGUCUGCCUGGCCUCGAGUUCCGUUGCCCAAGCAGACCUCCACCUCCCCUGCUGCAGCAGAGAGGGACCCAGGCAGCCAGUGGACGGGCUCAUCUCUUUGGUGGGCUCCCAGUGGGGCCUGCGGAUCACAGAGGCUGCCAUGCCAAAGGUUUAAUCAAAUAUUAAACAUGGUCCGUAAACUUAAACCGACAUCAUAUCUGGAACACCACGUCCCUCCUUAAGAGCGCCUAGCUCUGGGGAAAUUUCAGCUUAGCUUGGCCUGGGUGCGGGGCAGGGGCUUCUUAGUUCAUGCUCCCUUGGGGGCAGGAAAAAGAGGAGGCAGGCAGGGACCAUGGCAGGGGUGAGACGUGUGGCUUUCCUCCUCCAUUCCAUUAUUCAUUUCCCCUGAUUUUUAUCUAAUCUCUCCCUGAUUGUCCUGGUGAAACUUAAUAGACAAAGUGAAUUUUUAUUACAUCAUCAAUAUAAUCUCCAGCUAAUCAGCAGACACAGGGGCCACCGCAAGCCCUAUAGCUCCUCAUCUGGCUUCAUAAAUAGUAGGAACAAUCACUGCCAAGCCCAAUUCUUCCAGCUCCUCCCGAGAGGCCCUCUCCCUGCUGAGCCCCCUCCCCAGACCUAUUCUUGGGGUUUCUUUCUUCCCACGGAUCCCCCCCACCCAUUGGGCCACAUUGCUAGUUGAUGGAGACAUCUUCCCCAUUAGUAUUUUUAGUUUUCUUCCUCCCAGCUUCAGCUGUUAAAAUCACAAAUCUGGGGCUUGUGUUUCGAAUGCCAAAAUAGCCUAAUGUCGACUGAUUUUGAUUCUACUUUUCUCUGAGCUGGGACUAUGAUAUGUCAUAAGAUAUUAUGUAAUUGUGUGGAUCACAGGACAUACUAUCAACCACGUUAUAUACCAGAUUAAGUGAUAUGUUAUACUGCACAUAUAUAACCUAUAUAUAAGAGUGUUUUAGUCAUUUAAAGUUGAACCAUGCAUCUUGUGCACUGUAUCAUAGAUGUUAAAUUAUGUAUUUUAUUUAUAUUAUAGUAUGCCUUCUAUUUAUAUAGCAUUUUAAUCUGAAAAAUACUUUCUUAUAUAGUACCUCUUUUUAUCCCUAUUGCAACCAGGUACAAUUGAUACCUUUUUUAUAGAGAAAAAUGAAAAAGGGAUCAUGAAGGAAAAUUACAACCUGGUCAGAUCCUGCCAGGAUACGGCAGAGUGGCUCGGCUCAGGAUGGGUUCCAGGAAGGCAGGGAAGGGGUCACCGGUGAAUCAGGGAUCGGGGAAAAUUGUGUACCUGCUGACCAGGCAGGCAGAUUCGUGAGGCCUGGCCUGCGGGGCAGCCCCUGGCCAAAAGGCGACCUUCAUUCAAGGAGUAGGAGUUUUUUUCCCUGUCUCAAACCUGCCCAAAGUUAAAUGUGCAAAUGGAUGAGACUAGGCCCAUGCAGUAACAGGAAGCUGCUUUCUCCUCUGCUGUCCAGGGUCCUGGUCAUACUGCUCUAGGAUGGUUUGGAUUUCAGAAAACCAGCAAAUGCCACUUACAGUCAAAUCCUUUAGAUAAAGUGAGUGAUGAGGCUAAUAAAUCUGACUUUGGGCACCCACAACAGCAUAGACUGUUUGGGAGAAGGGUACUUUGCUUCCUGCAGACAAUCAGGACCAGCUCUUGCAGUGACUGGCCCCGCUUCACCAGUCACCCCUUGAUUCCUGAGGGUGUUUCCACACAUCUGUUCAGCAGGUGGUCCACAUGUGUCUGGGGCUCAUGCACAGGCCCCUCCAGCUUGGCCCUGAUCGUUGAGGCCUGGAUGUUGCAGGGCUUCUGGGGGUGGGCAGUGUUUAGUGCCUUGGACACUGCCUGCUGCAGAGGUAGCUGGCACACCAAGGAUGUACUCCACAUAGGAGCCACAUGCCUGGGUCCUUGCCCGACCCUGGCUCCAGCUCUCCCAUGGACCAGUGUCCUCACUUCCUUGCUCAGAGGCUGGGCCUUCUGCUCUCACAUCACUGCAGCAACACCUACUCAACCCAUUGCUUAGAGUCAUUGUGAGGAUCAUAUGAGAAGGGAAAACACGGUAUAAAAGUUAAAAUGUCCAGGGUCACUGUCAUGCCUCAAGGGUCAGCACCCCUAUCAGCACCCCCAUCAGCUCUGAGGGUCCGGCUCACUCUCAGAAACAGCACAUAAGGGGUGGCACAAAGGCCAGAGGAUGGGUGGGAAGGGAUAUUGGCAGUGCACCUACUAUAGGACAGUGACACACACACGGACUCUCAUUUGUUUUAUCUCAUCACAUCCUCAUGAUAAAGCUUCGACAGAGAUGUCACUGUGCCCCUUUGAAUGCCAAGAAAAUGGAAACUCGGAGAGCAGUAACGACUGAGGUUAGAUACUCCCAGAUUGGUCAUAUGCUCAAGCCGGCCACACUUCCUUGACUGCACACUCCCUUUAUGGAAGUAAAUAAAAAGAUCAUCUCUUACAUCUCCCUCAUUUUGCAGAUGGGAAAACUGAAGCCCUGGGACAUUACUGGCUAAUGUUUUCUUAAAUUAUCACACACUGUCUUGUAUGGAGGAUCUGAAAACAUACACAGAGAGAGAGAGAGAGAUGUGUACACAUUUAUGGAAACACAGAGAUAACUCACACAGACACACCCUCAUACAGAUACACACAUACACAGAGAUUCAAAAAUCAGUACACACAGACACACAUAGGAACACACUCAGAAAUAGGCAUUCAUACAGAUACUCAUAUAUGCAAGCACACACACACACACUCAAAAAUGCAGAUACAUUCACAAGCACAUUCAUAGACACACACAUAUAGAAACAUUCUGGCACCCAUGAAGAAGUGCACAUAGAGAUACACACAAGGAUCCAGAUACAUACCCUCACACAGACACACACACUCACAUGCCACUCCUUAAAGACAAGGCUUAAUUAACCACAAGGCCAGAGACACAAUUUAUCCACCUAACUUGUUAGCAAGAAGUAAAAGCAGCUGGUUUGGAGAGUGAGACGAGAGAGGCCUAGCUUGGAAGGGAGGCGGGAACACAGGGGCCCCAUAAAGGCUGUGGCCAAAUCCUCAUUAGAAGUCAACAAAUAAACAGAAGGCAUUUGCUGAGAGCACUCCCCCUGCAAUCUCCCUUCUGCGUCAACCCACAGGAUCUUGGCCAAAUUUCUGUUCCUCUAACCAAGACCAAAGGCACGACCUGGAGAAAUUUUGGGCAGGCUUUCCAAGAGCCACCCAGCCCCAGGCACUGGCUAUAGACAGCUCUCAUGUAGGUAAGGGGAGGCCUGUGAGCAGAAUAGGCAGCCUCCAGCAGGUGGCAACUGGGAAGGAAGGAGAGGAGCAGGGUAGGUCUAUAGCCGCAGCCUCUCCUGGAGACCAGCAUUCAGGCUACCUCCGGCUGUGGCUGAGUGAGAAAGGUUUUUGUACACCCAACCCUCAGCCAUUCACCCAAACCUGCUCCAGCCUGGGAGGCUCCUGUUGGCUCAUGGGAACACAUUUGAAAGAGAAGGUGGCCCUGCUCAGCUGUAUUAAGAGAAUACACACACACACUCUCUCUCUCUCUCUCUCUCACACACACACACACACACACACACUGAGCAAAGGGGUAUUGGUGGUAAGGAGUUCACCAGGGAACAGGAAACCUAUGGUUUUCUUUUCUUUAAAAUAAAAUCCUGAGGAUCCAGGAAUGAGUUAUCUGUUUCCUCCAUCUGCUGGAUAAGCUGACCAUUUGGAAGCUGAGUCUGUCCCGGGAUGAUGGGAUAGCCUGCUUUCGCAGUACUAACUUGAGCUACAUGUGCGGGACAGGAGACAUGAGGGGUUGUCACUGGAGGUACUGUAUGUUUUGCCCCGUCCUGCAUAGACAAACUGUGCCAGGCAGCUGCAAGAGGUGAGGCUUGGUGGACACCUCUGGGGACUAUGACACAGUGCAGGCUGUGGUGUGUCUGCUAGAGGUGUGCCAUGUAGAUUCAUGUUGUAGCCAUGGGUUUUGCAUUACACUGCAUCCUGUGGUUCUGCUGGAGCGUGCACGUGUGUGUUAGUGCUGUGUGGGUCAGUGUGUGUCACGUGUGGGAGAGCUGUGUUUUCUACACUGGUCUGGAAAGAGAGGGGAGGAUGCCCAGAGGGUUGUCUUCAUUCCUCCAAGGCUGCAAAGCUCCCUCAUCCUGGGACUUGCUAUCUGGCAGAGCCCCACCCUUUCCCUCCCAGCUCAGGAUCCAGAGGUCUCUCACACCUGGACCACGUCUGUCCACAGCCUGAAUGAAGUGCUCUGAGUCUGACCAGGAUCCUGGAAUCGGGAGCCUCUUACUGCAGCUGCAGUGAGAACUGUAUGUGUAUGUGUGUGCAUACAUGUGCGUGGGUGCGAGCAUGUAGUGUUCACCUGCCCACACACCACUUCCAAGUGAGUACACUCCAAUCCCGGCCUGUGAGACCUGGGUGAGGAGAUGAGGAGAUGUGCGGACGUGUAUGCUCAUACGUGCUGAGUGUAUGCAAGUGUGUGUGGGCUGUGACGGGCUCGGGUGGGCCAAUUUUUAGUGACAGAUUGUGUGUACGUCUAUGACUACAGUUUCUACCAAGUGCAUGUAAAAAACAGAAGAGAUGAGUCCAACUCCCUGGGUGAGCACGCCUGCAGUUCUCUGCAAAUGUGUGUGAGCGUGGGUGUCUUUUUGAGGGGCCUCUGGCCAGUUGUAGGGGAGGAGUGUGGGAAAAGUAUGUGGGGAGAAAGGGCUCUGCACACGUGUGGUUGUGGGCAACCUCGUUGGGUGGGACGCUAAGUCAGACAGUGUCCUCCAGAGACCUCGCCACUUUCUUGGAUGCACGGCUGGGCCAUCUGUGGCAUCUUCUCACAUUCUGCCCACAGAUUCCCUGGGAGACCGGAAGAAGAGGGGGUCAGCUCCCCAGAAGGUAGCCCUGAGGUCUCUUCUUGGAGACAACUGCAAGUGCAGGGCCAUGUGUGUCUCUCUCCCUCUCACACACAUAUAUGAGAGGGGAGAGAGAGACGGGGCAGCUACAGGAAAAGAGAGGCCCCUGCCCCACCACCUCCAUCCAGGCUGGAGCAGAUGGUGCUCAGACCCUACCAGCGAGGCCAGAGGCAGCACUUGGAAGCAACGUGUCCUGAGGGAAGGACCAGAGUGGGGUCCGGGGAGAUGCUCUCUGGCCAAAUGCAUCUCCGCUCUCCUGGGCCUGUCCUUCUGUCCAGAAACACAGGGCUCCUGAGCCUAGCCUACAUGUCCAGCUACAGAUGAUUUUUCUCUUUGCCUCAUCUCUGGGCCCCCUGGAGGCUGAAUUCAGCUACUUGGGGUGCAGGCACAAAGGCAGGCCAUCCCCAAGCCUGGCCCCAGCCCACCUCUGGCUCCAGCUUGAGUCAUUUUGCUACUAGGCAGCAGGAGGAAGGCCAGUCCUGCCUGCCCAGGAAUCCCGGGAUCUCAGGCACAGAUCUGGCAGUUACCCAUUCACUCAUCUGGAGGCCCCACCACUCUUGCCCCUGAGGACACUACCCCCUCCUCACACCCAGGGUUUGGCUGUGUGCCUUGCCCAAUGCGUCUGCAGCAAGCCGCUGUUGGGCACUGGUGCCCUUAGUAUGCCCAGUCUUCCUGCAGCUGAGGCUGGACCCUGACCCUUCCCAGCAUCUCCGAGAACACAUGUGUCAGAAUCUCCUGGGAUUCUGGUGGGAAAUGAACCUCCUGAGCUCAACCCCACACUUUCGAAUUCCCUGAGGAUGAGGCCAAGGAAUCUGCAAGUUGGAAAGCAGCUUUAGGGGUCUCCAUGCAUGUCAUGCUGUCUGUCCCUGGAGCCCCAGGGUCAGCUCCCUGUCCAGGUUGUCAACAAUGCUGUGGCUUCCUCAGGCCUCAACCAGAUACCGCCCUGGGUAUCCCCUAACUUCCUGUGGCUUGCCUCAUGGCCCCUGGGGCUCAGCUUUCUUCCCUAGGGAAAUGACAGCCUACAUUUUUGGAACCAUCUGCUUAUGUCAUAAAACCGAUUCCUUAGGCUGUUGUUAUAACUGUCAUAACAGACAUGUCUUCCCCACUUGCAGGAAGUGGAUCCCAAUCUCACACUCUUAAAUUCUCAUCCUCAUGUAGUUACACAAGCACAGAUACACUUAUACACAUACAUACGUGCAAGCACACACACAUACCCACAUACAGGCCAGCCAGCUCCGCUGGUGACACAUUACAUGCAAGUUCUUUGUGUUCAAUGGUGAAGCUAUUCUGUGCCCAGCUGUGAAGUCGUUCCCCUGCUCAGCACCUCACACAGAUUCCCAGCUCCUCCCAGCGCCCAUUCAGUGAGGAGUGGAGGCUCUGAAAGCAGCACAAGUGCCGUGUAAUGGGCAGCACUGAGGUCUAGCACCGCAGCUCUGCUGACAAGCUGUGUGAGUUGGACAAAUCCCUUUACCUACUGGUCGGCCUCAGUCUCCCUGUCUAGCAAACGGGAAUUUACACCCUGCCUAGAUGAGCUGCUUGUGAACAUGGAACGCAGUGAUUUCGGUGGAGCAUCUGGCAGUGCCUGGAACGUGGUGAGCCUGAGAUAAUUGUAGCUGUUGAACAAAUGGAAAAAAAAAGAAGUAAAAGAGUUCAUGACCUAGGACAUCCCUGGCCUUGCCGCUCUUGCCCUUAUCUCAGCCCUCCCUUCCUGGGAGGUAAGUCGCAUCUCUGCACCUCUGCUCAGGCUCUUCUCCACCUGGGGUACCCUCUUCAUUCCUGCUUCCCCCAAGCCAAGGCCUGCUUCUCUGCACAGACUGCGCCGAGCCUCCUCCAGGAAGCCUCUAACUGCUGCAGCCCCAUCAAUCUCUCAGAGUCCCCCAAGCUUCAGCCUCCCCGGAGCUUCAGCCUCCCCACCCAGUGGCACAGACCAUGUGGUAGCCUCUCUCAUUCAUCUGGAGGGAAUGGAGGGGCCAUCAAUUGGUCCCCAGAAAAGACCAGUUGCUUUUUCAAUACUAAGUUUAUUGUAAAUGUUUUCAUUGUCAAUAGUAUUUGUCAUAGAAAAAAUAAACAAGAUGACAAGGUAGCAAGAAGAGGACACCCAUAUUCCCACUCCCCAAAGGGAGUAAGCCUUUCAUUCUAGUCCAGGAACUCCUUUGAGUAAGUCACUGGGCGCCUGUGGAGCUCCAUUUCUUCCUCUGGGGAUGGAAAUGAAAUGAGUCACCUUGAAGAACACUUCCUGUUUCACAGCCUCUAACCCUAUGAUGUAAAGUUCAUGCUGGAUUUAGAGUUCAGAUUCCAGGGUGGUGCAACCCUUGGAGAGCUCUUGGAUGCUGGGGAUGGGAAGGCAUGGGAAGAUUUGAGGGGCUACUCAGAGACCACAGUCAAAGGUGCUAAGUUCAUGCAGAGACUGAAGAGUUAAAAUGGAGACGGGUGUGAUGGAGAGUCCUCAUCAGUACUAGGCUCUAACCAGGUUCAAGGCAGGCAGUGGUGAUGCCAUAGAAAGAGCACUGGAUUCAGAGCCCAGAGACUUGGGUUUUCAUGUCUGAGAGCCAGGCAAUGACCAGGGACCAGGCAUUUCAUUCCUGGAGCUCAGAGCGUCUCCUAACCUGUAAGUCAAGAAUAACAACACUGGCUUCAUGAGUUAUUAUGGCAAUUAAGUGAGAAAAUGUAGAAACAUCUAGAAUAGUUUUGUAUAAUGGUAAUAAUCAUAAUCACAAUAAUAAGAGAGGGAUUGUUAACAUGUAUUUAUCAUUUACUGUAUCCCCAGCAUGAUGCCAAGUGCUCUAAUGUGCUAUCUCAUUUAAUGUUCCCAGUUUUCCUAGGAGAACAUUUCAAUUUCUGUUUUACGGACAAAGACACAGAGGCACAGAGUUUAACUGCCCUAACUUCCCAGGGCACAGAGAAAGUAAGUGGCACAGCCAAGAUACCCAGCCAUGCUCCCAAGAGUCAUACGCUUGGGGAAGAGCGCCUGUGCCUAUUUCGGUUAAGUACCCACAUCCAGGGAGUAGCAGAUCUUCAUGACUGGGCCUCAACCUUCCUUAGUGUAGAUGCCACCAUGGAAGAUCAGAGCAGCCAGCUUGUGAAGUUCAGUGGGUGCACAGCGAGCACUCAAUAACGAGUGUUUAUUUAUUGCUUCUGUUUACAGCUCUAUUCCCAAAGUGAAUUGUUUGUUUAAGUAAGGAGCAUUUACCUUUAUUACAGUCAUUGGUAAAUAAAAUUAUAUUUGCAUUUCCACAAAUAUGUAUGAGUUUAAUUAGUCUUGCAAUUCGUACACAAGAGCCAGUCCAGGAAACACAUUUAUGAGCUCCCACUUCUACCCUAGGCAGAAGGCCUUCUCCCGCAAACACCAUCAGGAUUAAAUAACUCACUCAUUCACAAACAGUUACUGAUCACCCACUCUGCCACUGCUGGAGUCACAAUGAUGACCAUGGCACAGAAACCUCUGGGUCUCCUGGAGCUCACAUUUUCAUGAGGAGAGUCAGAUGAUAAAUUAAAAAUUAAAAUUAAAAACCUGAUCAUAAGUGUUGUGCUGAGAAUUAAAACAUAUAGGUGAAGCGUGACUGGGGCCGCUGUAUACAUGUGAGUGGGGAGGGCUCCUCUGAGGAAUUGACAGUGAAGCCAAGAUCCAAACAACAAGCAGACAUGGCGGGAGAAGGCACUUCCAACAGAGAGAACAGCAGGUGCAAAGGCCCAGAGGCAGGAAUGGGCUUUGUGUGUUCAAGGGACAGGAGGAACACCAGUGCGACAGGAGCGUCCCGGGGUAAUGGGGAGAAUUAGCUGGGAGGGGCUGGCGGGGCAGGUUGUAUCAGGCUCAGCAGGGGUGUCUGAAUUGUUUUCUAAGGUUAGCAAGAAACACUGGAAGAGCCAUGUUCUGAUGUAUGUUUCACAGAGAUCUUUCAGCUGCUGUGUGGAGCCAGCUGCUACAGGAGAGCAGACGUGGAGGGGGACAGCCAGAGGAGCAAUGAUGGGGCAUGGAUUAAGAAGGGCAGUGAAGGUGUGAGAAACAGAUGGGGUCAGGAUGUGUUUGGGAGACAGAAGUCCCAGGACUUGUUGAUGGAUUGGGUGUGAUGUGGGGAGAAAGAGAGAAGCCCAGGACGAUUUGAGGCACUCAAUAAAGGAAACUGUUCCUCCUGCCUCAAAUUGUCCUGCACCAUCUAACAGAACUUAGCCCAGGUCUGCCCCUCCCAUGCUCCCACCUAAAUCCCUCAUGCUGUAGCUUCAUUCCCUCCAGCCCUUGCCAGGGCCACUGCUGCUGCCCUUUCUUGGAACAUCUUUCCCAGGAUGCCAAGGUUGCAUUCCACGCAGCAGGGAGAGCGGGAACUGCUGUCCAGGGGUGAGUCAGCCAGAUUCACAGUGGUGAUGUAGGUCGCAGAGCUCCCUCCUCCCUGCCCCACUGCUGCGGCUGGAGCCUUCCCACCCAGCCUGCUCCACGAUCCAUGUCCUUGUGGCCCACAUAUCCCAACCCAGCCACCCCCGCCAGCCUGACCGUGCAGGCUCGUUUAUCUGAACGCCUAGAAGGGAAGAGCCCCUUGGGAACUUCUCUUUGGCCCCCAGAGCCACGACCAAAUGCCGAAGGCAGACCGCUGGCCUGUUUUCCCUGUUUUAAAGUAAAAAAUACAAUAAAAGCGACACACAAAGAGAGAUGCUGCUGUUUUACUUACAAAUGAGAGAUGUAAUCAUUCCCCCAGGUACCUGGGAGGCUGUGGGCUGGGGCCAGGGAGCCAGUGGGCGGGAGGAUCCUAGGGCCAUAGGCACCCUCUCCACAUCCUGCUGGGUGCCAGCAAGUGAGCGAGGCACUUGGUCCCCACCCCAAACUUCUCUUACUCACAGCCAUCCCAGAGCCAAGCCCUCCUUCCUUGUCACCUUGAGAGAUACUCAGGGGUCUGAGCCCACUGUCAGGAGGGUAGUAUUCAAAUGCCCUGGUAAAAAAUGAUGGGGUGUCUGACUGCAAGGCUAGGUGGUGACAGAGACAGCUACGCACACGUCAAUGCAUAUGCACUGUUGUAAUUGAGUAGUUAUUAAUAAAGCUAUGUCUAUUGUCCAGCUCUCUAACAUGCCAGGCCUGCGCUGCCCAUGAGACCUGAUCAUCACCUCUCUCCAUCCUCACAGCAAGCCCAUGUCAGCAUGGCCAAUUCGGUAGCUAACAGCGGCGUGUGGCUAUUUACAUUUACAUUUAAAUUAACUUUAUUCCAAUGUAAUUUAAAAAUCUGUUCUUCAGUUUUACUAGCCACAUGCCCAGGGUUCAACAGCCACAAGGAAAGAGUGGCUACAGUGGUAGAUAGUCUAUGCUGUCUACAUAGCACAUUUUCUGCAUGCCAGAAAGUUCUAUCAAACAGUGCUGAGAGCAUUGCAUAUGCACGGACUAACAAGAGUGCAUGAGUGAAGACACAUACAUAGGCAUGUGUGACUGUCACUGGAAUGUUCACGCAUGCAGAGCACAAGAGACACAGCUGUGCAUGUGUUUAGGCUGUGUGUGUGCACGUAUGUGUGUGUGUGUGUCUUAGAGGUGCCCAGUCCUUGUCCACCACCCCAGGCAUCCUGCUGCCUGAAGGAAUGUCAGGAACAUGAGCUCUGGAAUCAAACUGUCCGGGUUGGAAUGUGGGCUCUCCCACUCUCUAGCUGUGUGACCUUAGGCAAGUGGCUUAACUUCUCUGUGCAUCAGCUUUCUCUUUAUAAAAUAAAGAUAAUAACAGAGCCAUCGUUGAGGGUUAUUAGAAACAUUACAUGAGAUAAUAUGUGCAAAGCUCUCGGAGAGGCUCCCAGCACACUGUGAGCUAUUAAUAAACAUUAGCUGUUACUGUCGUUUCCAAGAGGCAGUGUGUCUGCUGCGCAGGAGCAGCCUUGGAGAAGAGUCUGCCAUGUAGGGGAGGGCGUUGAGAACCCUGAUGAGACCGAGGAUUGCUUCAUUCUCAAGCCUGCCACCGUUUCCUGAGAGCAGCAGGGUGGGGCGGGGAGGGAGCUGGUGGGAGCAGCAGGGGUCCCCACCAGCCAGGGAAGGAGACUCCACAGAAGAGGGGUGCUGGGGCGAGGAGGUGCCAGGAGGGGAGGCACACGGGAGGUGGCGGGAGGGACGGAGCAGGAGUCCCGCCUUAGCAUGUUGUUUACAGCCUGGCUCUUCCUGUCGGGCGCUGGGAAACGUGCUGCUGAGUGAGGGAGACAGAACCCCGUGCGUAACUGCUUCACAAUGUCAGAAUUGCUUUCUAUAUUCGCUAAAGCACCAGGCCAGCUAUUCCCUCACACUGCCCUCUAGGAUCUAAAGUCUCACCUGGGAAUGAGACCAACCCACAAGCGACAAUUGGAAUGAAAAAGAAUCAGAGCAGAGGAGGCACCUGAGGGAAUCACUAGUCCCAGGCAGCCAUUUUAACACAAAUCAAUUCAACAGGUAUUUGCUGAGUGAGUGCCUGCUCUGGGUAAAGACAGCGUUGUGGGUGCUUGGGGGAUUCAAAAAAGCGAAAAGGCAGGAAGGAACCUCUGCCCUCAAGGUGUGGAGAGCCAGAGAGAGAGAGGCUCCAGGCCUCAGCAGCCAAAGGUGAGACGGCUCGGGAGACGAUUACACACAGGAUCCGGCAUUUGUAAUGGACUUUGAAGAUGAGUGAGACCUUUCAGAGAGCAAAACAAGGUCCAGAGAGGUUGGACAGCUUGCCCAGGGCUACACAGCCAGUGAAGACCCGAGCCAGGUGCAAGGUCUUUCUACCAUGGAGAGACAAGGAAAAAGGGAUGCAUCCCUAGGCACACAGUAUAGAGAGCAGGGCCCCAGGGGUGCACACAGGAGAGACCAGAUCCAUCCCCUGGGAUGAGGGGGCCGCCCUCCCACCUCGCCAUCCCUCUGGCCUUCGGUAAGGUCCGCCUGAUGCGGCGAGAGGCCGCCUGUGUUUUCAGACGUGGCCAGCAGAGGGCACCAGGACUACUGCACAACCCGGACCAAGGAGUUGGCCGCCCCCAGUGCUGGAUUCAGCGCCUGGGACUCUCCGGGGCACCGGGCACAAAUGUCUGCCCACUCACACAGCUCCGUGGGGUGAGCCCGUGAUGGGACACCAGGUGGGGGAGCCACGCCCGCGGCUUCCAUGUGGACGGUAGGGCUCCACGGAAGCAGGCCUGGUUGGACAAGAGAAAUCCCAAGACCCUCCCAGAUUGGGUGGCACCUCAGGUUGAAUAAAAAAGUUUUCCCCCAGGAGGAGCUUGUGUCUGGUGGACAUAAAAUGAGUGUAUUUUCUUUAGUUUCCUCUCAGAGAAAGCAAAGGGAGGGGUUUCUCCAUCUGUCACCACCUCCGGGGCUCAUCCCCAAACCCCUACAGGCAAGCAAGGAAAUAAUAUAAACAGCCCCUGUCAGGCUCACGUGUGGAGUUGGGGUCUGAGAUGGUCCCCCAAAGACCUGUAAUUUUCAUGUCCUUUUGCAGAGGCAUGACAGAGGAACCAUGUCCUUUUACAGAGACCCGACCGGGAACUGGCCUCCCUGCCUUAAUCAUAAAGGCCAUUUGAAGUUAGCCCUCGGGUUGCCCUUUUGCAGAAAGACACCCCCAAGGACUUGCUGGGAACUCCUUCUCUUGGAUAGAGAGCACCAUUCUUCUCCGAGAAUGCCAGGCCCUCGGCAUGUACACAAGGCCCCUUCAGUCCAGCCUGGGUGCGAUUUCCCAAACUCCAAAGGAAUCGGGUCCAAAUUCGGUUUUUCUUCUUCCUGCUCUGAGAACCAGCCUAUGUUUGGUUUGGGCAGUGACAGUUUGGAGAUUCAAAUGAAAGUCAUGAUCAAGGUGGUGAUAACUGAGUGCACAGCAGAAAAUGUAAGGGGAGAAGACAAAUGCAAGAGGAGGAGGCAAAUGCUAGGGACAAAGAGGCGAGGGCAGAGGAGAAAGCCCAGGCAAGGGCUGAGUGGCCAGAAGGGUCAGGAAAGCCAGGCUGAAGAUGGGUGACCUAUGACACCCGCCAGUCGUGCUGUGGGACAGUACUAGGGGAUGUGUUACAUCAGAUCACAUCUGUCCUCGGCUUUAUGUGAAGGAACCUUGUGAGUCAGCUAGCACCCCCUGGCAAGGUGGGGCAUGUCCUCUCUCCCUCCGCAGAGCACAGCUCACACCAUUGGGAGGUGUUGUCCAAGCCUCCCUGCAGGCCUGGGAGUUUUGUGUGAGUGUGUGAAAGCCUGGGCCGCCUGCACGCGAGCCUGUGGCUUUGGGAGGUGGGGGUGAUGGUGAUGGCAGUGGGUGGAAGGGAGCAAGUGCAAGAUGUGCAAGGACUUGCUGCCCGGGGACCGGGGCCUAGGGCUUCUCCUAUCUCAGGUGGGCCACCACCUCCCACACGCUCCAUAUCUGCAUCUGUAAAAUGCAAAUAGCAAUCUCUGCCUCACCCAUCCCACACAGAUGUUGUGAUGCUCAGAUUAGGCAAAAAUGUGGAGAAAAGGCACUAACGAGCAGCACACAGGUGUCCUGCGUAGACCUGUAGCUGAGGACCCCUUGUCCAGGGCUGAGGAGAUGACUGUCACUCAGGAAGUUCCCUUUUGGGAGGGAGUAGGGGAGACAGAAAAGUACAUAGAAGAGAGUCAGAUUCUAGAGAAGAAAGAGUUUCCAGUCCUUCAGGUUCCAAUGCACCAUUUGCCCUAAUGCCUAUCCCUUGGGACUCUGAAGACCACAGGCCUUAUCCCACAACCAUUCUGGCCUGUGCAGUGCUCAGCUUUCCCUGGGGAAGCCUGUUUGCCACCCCACCCCUCCCAUCACCCCUCCAGGGAGUAUCCUCCCACCUUCCCCCAUUGCUCUAAACAGCUGUGAUUCAGAGAGAGUCAUUUCCAAGGAAACCAACAACAACAACAAAAAUGUCCAGGCGUCAGGGGAAAUUUCAACCACAAUGCAAGUGGUUCCAGAGGAGCAUUGACAGCACCCAGGAUGCAGCUUGGGCUCCCGGCACUGUCGGCACCAACCUCAGAGGAAGAGACAUAAACAGGACAUAUGUGCAGGGGCGUGGGGAGGGAGAUGGAUGUUUCCCAAAAGCAGGAAUUAAAGUUUUCAAUAACAUUUGUUGUUCAGCCACAAGGCUCUCGAGACUAGAGGAACCCCAAAAGAGAUCAGGAAAGGUUAGCAAGGGCCUUUUUACCCGGAAGUGAAUCAUGUUCUCUCUCGCUGCAUGGCCAGUGUGGAUCCAGGUAGGGAUCUCCACGCUCUGUGAUGGCAGGGUUCACCUGAGCAGGCUCCUCUGUGGCCUGGCCUCCUGGUGGCCGCCCCACUCCCUAGGGGUGCUCAGAGCUGGCUUCAAUCCCACAUUCAGAAUGUGGCUGCUUACUAUCUUUGGAGCUCACAGUAUAGAUAGACGCUGUUAAGUAAUACACUUGUAUAAAUUACCUAACGGCCCAUGUGUGCACACAGGGGAGCGUGCACCAUGUCAAGUGAUGGGUUACGUGAACUCUUCCUGCUACUCCCAUGAUCACUGUAUGCUGAUAUGAUAAAGGCAGCUCCUGAAUUUUGCCAUAUGGAUCUCAGAGUUGUGUGGGUACCGGGAGCUGCUUGGAAAGUCUGCAACCUCAGAUCCCUGGGCCACUGGUCUUGGGAACAGGAGCAAUUGUCUUCAGAAUUUGUUCUGGACGAUGAAUUCAGUCUUAUUUUAACAUUUUGAAAUGACUGACUAGGAAAAACCACAAAAAGACAAUAAAUAAUGCCAAUAAGGUAUGUACCGUCGUGUAGAUUUUAAUCUAGAGAGUCAGAUUCUGCCUGGUCCAAAUCAUACAGAGACAUUAUUUUUAAUUCCGGAAUCACCAAUUAGAUAAUCCUCCAUAGUCAGGGAGGAUUUCCAGCAUGGUGUUCUAUUGUUGGAGAAGACCUGGGUGCAGGGAGGCCCACCUCCCAUCCAAGGCCACACGGCAGCUGGGUGCCUAGGACUAGCUGUGCCUUCAGACAGCUUCAAGGAUGAGGAAAUGAGUGCAGAGGACAGCUUUCCAUCAGCCUGCUGUGUAGACGUAGCAAGCUUUCGGGACAUGGCACCUCAGUUUCUCUUGCUUCUACUGGCAACAUCAGGGUUCCAUGACCUGGAACAGUCCUGUGCAGCCCUGGCCCCCGCUGGCUUUCAGAAGGGGUUCUGUAAACACUGGGCUCUGUGAGGCGUGUCACCUCGUCUCUAAGGCUGAAACCGACCAGACAAUAGGCCAGAGCAGGAAGUGUCUGCAUUCAUACCCAGUCCUCUGCCUUCCCUCCCUUCUCUUCCCCUCCCUCUCUUCCCCUCUGGCCCUGGGGAUGUAUUUUGCAUCCUUUAAAUGAUCUUGUUUAUUCUAUGUGUCGGAAUAUAGUUAUCUGAAUAUUAAUUAUGGCUUUAGUGAAGUUCAUCGGUUGAAUGCAGGAAUUGAGAAUUCCUCCUUCACUUUCAGCCACCUGCUUUGAUUUCUCUGUUUAUCUGCUUGACUGAGCUGAAAUCAGUUUCUGUAAGUGAAAGUCGGCUGCUUGGAGCAGAUGUUAAUGCUCAGAAAUAGUGUACGGUCUGCUAUUAGCAUAAGUAGCAUGAUGCUAAUAAAUAGAGGUGUGCAGGGCUAGUGGCAGUGGUGCCGGUGGGGACUGAGGGACAGCGGCCUGCCCAGUGACAGAGCCUAUGCCCCACCCAGAGGAAGAGGGAGAGCCGCAGCCUGGGUGCUGGACACCUUCUGCCCAAGCCAGCCCCGCCCUUCCUCCUCCCCAGCACCCCAGUAUGCAGCCAGCUAGGGGCCGAUGAUUAAUGACGGCGAGGACUGUAACCAAAUUGUAGUGCCAUUAGCACCAAGUCACAACUGACAACUAGAUACAUCAUCUCUGAGCUUUCUAUCCAGCUAACUAAUUUAACUAUGUGAAUACGGGAAACGCUGCUCUGAUGCCAUAAGGCAAAUAUUGCCAAUACCCGGGAGCCUGUCAGGAAUGAGAGACGGGGAAUCCAUCGGGGCCCAGCAGCCAGGUCCACAGUCCUGGCUGGGUCAGCAGAUCUGUCUUCAUGGCAUUUGCGCUUCAAGGCUCUGGAAUAACUCCACCAUACACCCCACGGAGCCAGGACCAAAUAAUCCACCAAACCAAGCCCCCGAAUCCAGGACCACCCCCACUGCUCUCCCCUGACAUGGAGAUGACAAUGUUUCCUUCCAAGUCAGAGAAGGACAGAUUUGGUCACAACAAUGCAUUUCUCCCCAUCCCCGAAUUUCUCCCCAUCUCUGCAGCUCCCCACUUUCUCCGGGAGAGGGACUUGCAGGAGCUCUGAUGAGAUACAGGUGGGCCUCCGUUCUCACAGGAGCUGCUCCCGAAAUAGUGAAUGCAAAUUGUUAUUAUCUUCUUUUUUGUCAUUUUACAAUGAAUCUUAUUUGAAAUGUGCUGUGUUUGCUCAUCAGAAGAGCCUUAUAAGGAAUCCUUUUAGAAAUAAAAGAAUCCUUCUGCCAUGUGAA